GAAAGGUGUGGAGCUGACCGAUACUAAUAGGCCGAGGGCUUAACACA
rnacentral:rRNA from 1 species